rnacentral:lncRNA from 1 species
AUUUUUUUCAAUGGCUACGGUUUGAGUAUCUAAGUUUUGGUGGUUGACGUGAUCUUUUUCUAUGCGUGGCUAGCCGCUUCCCUAAAUACUUGAUUUGAAAAAGGCCGCACAGGGGCUUUUUGCUGAUGUUGUGGUCAGCUGCUUUCUUUAAUGGCUUGAUUUGAUGGGGCAUAUCGGAGCCCUUUGCAGACGUCCUUAGAUAUGAUGACAAGGGCAAGG